rnacentral:rRNA from 1 species
CCUACGUGUGGCAGCAGUGGGGAAUAUUGCACAAUGGGCGAAAGCCUGAUCCAGCAACGCCGCGUGAGCGAUGACGGCCUUCGGGUCGUAAAGCUCUGUCCUCAAGGAGGAUAAUGACGGUCCUUGAGGAGGAAGCCCCGGCUAACUACGUGCCAGCAGCCGCGGUAAUACGUAGGGGGCUAGCGUUAUCCGGCAUUACUGGGCGUAAUGGGUGCGUCGUUGGUUUGUUAGGUCGGAGGUGAAAGGCUAAGGCCAAACCGUGGUAAGCCUUUGAAACUGGAAAACUUGAGUGCAGGAGAGGAGAGUGGAAUUCCUAGUGUAGCGGUGAAAUGCGUAGAUAUUAGGAGGAACACCAGUUGCGAAGGCGGCUCGCUGGACUGUAACUGACACUGAGGCACGAAAGCGUGGGGAGCAAACAGGAUUAGAUACCCGGGUAGUC